CCUACGGGGGGCAGCAGUCGAGAAUCAUUCACAAUGGGGGAAACCCUGAUGGUGCGACGCCGCGUGGGGGAAUGAAGGUCUUCGGAUUGUAAACCCCUGUCAUGUGGGAGCAAAUUAAAAAGAUAGUACCACAAGAGGAAGAGACGGCUAACUCUGUGCCAGCAGCCGCGGUAAUACAGAGGUCUCAAGCGUUGUUCGGAAUCACUGGGCGUAAAGCGUGCGUAGGCUGUUUCGUAAGUCGUGUGUGAAAGGCGCGGGCUCAACCCGCGGACGGCACAUGAUACUGCGAGACUAGAGUAAUGGAGGGGGAACCGGAAUUCUCGGUGUAGCAGUGAAAUGCGUAGAUAUCGAGAGGAACACUCGUGGCGAAGGCGGGUUACUGGACAUUAACUGACGCUGAGGCACAAAGGCCAGGGGAGCGAAAGGGAUUAGAUACCCUGGUAGUC
rnacentral:rRNA from 1 species